rnacentral:rRNA from 1 species
UACGAAGGGUGCAAGCGUUACUCGGAAUUACUGGGCGUAAAGCGUGCGCAGGCGGUUUGCUAAGACCGAUGUGAAAUCCCCGGGCUCAACCUGGGAACUGCAUUGGUGACUGGCAGGCUAGAGUAUGGCAGAGGGGGGUAGAAUUCCACGUGUAGCAGUGAAAUGCGUAGAGAUGUGGAGGAAUACCGAUGGCGAAGGCAGCCCCCUGGGCCAAUACUGACGCUCAUGCACGAAAGCGUGGGGAGCAAACAGG